AUUAUACUCCCUCCGUCCGAAAAUACUUGUCAUCAAAAUGGAUAAAAAGGGAUGUAUCUAAAACUAAAAUACAUCUAGAUACAUCCCUUUUAUCCAUUUUGAUGACAAGUAUUUUUGGACAGAGGGAGUAUAUA
rnacentral:pre_miRNA from 1 species